CUGUGACUAUUUACUUGUGAAGCUGGAAGAGGGCCUGAGAGUAUCUCCUUCUCCGCACUUGGGUUCUGGCUGCCUACAGGAAGUCUGAGUCUCCCUCCUACACACUUUGUGCUAUGCUUCUGCAAGAGGAGUCUCACACUGUGAGAAGUGUGCAUGUUUUUAAACACCCAGAGCUCACGACCUUGAACACUUGGGUACCAGCUGGUAGUACUGUUUGUGAGGGUUGUGGAGACUUUCCAGCCAUGAGGCCUAGCUGCAGCAGCAAACCACUAAAAGCAGACCUUGGAAGAAAUGUGGAAGGUUUUGGAACUUUGGACUAGUAAAGUAGUUGAAUGCUGUUGGAAGAGUUUAAAUGGCCCUUUUAGUAGAUGCCAAGCUCAAGAUGUUUCAUAAGAAGAGGGAAGCAAAGACUGAAUCAGCAACUGGGCUCAUUCCUGAGAUAUUUUCGCAUCGAAUCUGGCUGCCUUCUUUCACUGGUCUAAGAAUUUUCCUGAGGCUGAAUUAAAGAAUAAAGGACUAAUUUCUUUGGUGAAUGAAAUUUCAAGGCAGCCCAAUCUUGAAUCUGUUACAUGGUUAUUAAUGGUACUCUUAUGCAGCUCAACAUUGAGAAGAGUGAGUGGGAUAGAAAAAAAUACAAAACAUACAGUUUGGAGAGGAAAAGAGCACUAGGAAGCAUAAUGUUGCAGCCAAGUCUUGAGCUAGAAGAAAGGCUGUAAUUGUUCUAGGAGAGUAGUGCCAUUAAGGAGAGGCCUCCUGCUCUGAACUGCCACAGGGAAGACAUACCCAGCUAAUUUUCCAACUUGUGCAAGAUAAAGCCUAAGGGAUUUUCUUCUCCUAGAAAACCACUACCUACAAAAGCUGCGGCUAAUGUCUUCCAGGGAUGAGAGCAGGGGUUGUGUGGGGGAGGUGGAGUUUCAUCCGAAGCUAGCAGCCAAACUUGGCAGUGUCAAUAACAUGCUAUUGGUUAUAGAGUCAUGAAAGAUUCAAGAGUGAAUGGGAUUAUUCCUCUGAAGUUUCAGAGAGCCAUUGAGGCCAAGAAACGUGUGUUGGGGAGACCCUGCAUAAAGAAGGCCUUGGGAAGCCUCUGUGAAGCUGUGAAAGUGAGGCUUGGAUUGAAGUAGAGAUCCCAAGAUGUUGCAGAUGCCAGAGCCAGGAGAUAUCACCAAGGAGAGCUGUGUAUAGGAAGUGAAACCAAGCCAAGAGAGAGAAUUAAGAUGUGACUCACAGCUUCCGGUUUCUGCUGCCAUGCCUACUUCUUGCUGCCAUGCCUCCUCACCAUGAUGGAUUCUUACCCCUCU